rnacentral:tRNA from 1 species
GCGGGGAAUGCUGGCGAAAGCUGCGUCCACAGCCCUCCGAAGGCAAAGGUCACACGUUCGAAUCGUGUCGGGUGCGCCA